rnacentral:tRNA from 1 species
UCCCUGCUGGCUCAGAUGGUAAAGAAUCCGCCUGCAGCGUGGAAGACCUGGGUUCAAUCCCUGGGUUGGGAA